rnacentral:rRNA from 1 species
UCCUGGCCUCUAGGGUGAACGCUGGCGGCGUGCCUAAGACAUGCAAGUCGAGCGGGGUAGGUUUAUGCCUGCCCAGCGGCGGACGGGUGAGUAGCGCGUGGGUGACCUACCCGGAAGAGGCGGACAACCUGGGGAAACCCAGGCUAAUCCGCCAUGUGGUCCUGUCCUGUGGGGUAGGACUAAAGGGUGGAUAGCCCGCUUCCGGAUGGGCCCGCGUCCCAUCAGCUAGUUGGUGGGGUAAAGGCCCACCAAGGCGACGACGGGUAGCCGGUCUGAGAGGAUGGCCGGCCACAGGGGCACUGAGACACGGGCCCCACUCCUACGGGAGGCAGCAGUUAGGAAUCUUCCGCAAUGGACGGAAGUCUGACGGAGCGACGCCGCUUGGAGGAGGAAGCCCUUCGGGGUGUAAACUCCUGAACUGGGGACGAAAGCCCCGUGUAGGGGGAUGACGGUACCCAGGUAAUAGCGCCGGCCAACUCCGUGCCAGCAGCCGCGGUAAUACGGAGGGCGCGAGCGUUACCCGGAUUUACUGGGCGUAAAGGGCGUGUAGGCUGCUUGGGGCGUCCCAUGUGAAAGGCCACGGCUCAACCGUGGAGGAGCGUGGGAUACGCUCAUGCUAGAGGGUGGGAGAGGGUGGUGGUAUUCCCGGAGUAGCGGUGAAAUGCGCAGAUACCGGGAGGAACGCCGAUGGCGACGCAGCCACCUGGUUCACUUCUGACGCUGAGCGCGAAAGCGUGGGGAGCAAACCGGAUUAAAUACCCGGGUAGUCCACGCCCUAAACGAUGCCCGCUAGGUCUUUGGGGUUUAACUGGGGGACCGAAGCCAACGCGUUAAGCGCGCCCGCUGGGGAGUACGCCCGCAAGCUGAACCUCAAGGAUUGACGGGGGCCCCCCAAGCGGGUGGAGCAUGGGUUUUAAUUCGAGCACCGAAAACUUACCAGCGUGACAUGCUAGGACUAGUAGCUGGGGGUCCGGAGGACUAACAGGGCUGAUGCCGUCUCACUCUGUCUGAAGUUGCUUAUUCGCACAAAGGCACCCCUGCUUUAUGCCAAGGAUUUCGGCAUCCU